AUUCCUACGGGAGGCAGCAGUGGGGAAUUUUCCGCAAUGGGCGAAAGCCUGACGGAGCAACGCCGCGUGAGGGAUGAAGGCCUCUGGGCUGUAAACCUCUUUUAUCAAGGAAGAAGAUCUGACGGUACUUGAUGAAUAAGCCACGGCUAAUUCCGUGCCAGCAGCCGCGGUAAUACGGGAGUGGCAAGCGUUAUCCGGAAUUAUUGGGCGUAAAGCGUCCGCAGGCAGCCCUUCAAGUCUGCUGUUAAAAAGCGGAGCUUAACUCCAUCAUGGCAGUGGAAACUGUUGGGCUUGAGUGUGGUAGGGGCAGAGGGAAUUCCCGGUGUAGCGGUGAAAUGCGUAGAUAUCGAGAAGAACACCAGUGGCGAAGGCGCUCUGCUGGGCCAUCACUGACGCUCAUGGACGAAAGCCAGGGGAGCGAAAGGGAUUAGAUACCCCUGUAGUCCUGGCCGUAAACGAUGAACACUAGGUGUCGGGGGAAUCGACCCCCUCGGUGUCGUAGCCAACGCGUUAAGUGUUCCGCCUGGGGAGUACGCACGCAAGUGUGAAACUCAAAGGAAUUGACGGAAU
rnacentral:rRNA from 1 species